rnacentral:rRNA from 1 species
UGGGGAAUAUUGGACAAUGGGCGAAAGCCUGAUCCAGCCAUGCCGCGUGUGUGAAGAAGGUCUUCGGAUUGUAAAGCACUUUAAGUUGGGAGGAAGGGCAGUAAAUUAAUACUUUGCUGUUUUGACGUUACCGACAGAAUAAGCACCGGCUAACUCUGUGCCAGCAGCCGCGGUAAUACAGAGGGUGCAAGCGUUAAUCGGAAUUACUGGGCGUAAAGCGCGCGUAGGUGGUUCGUUAAGUUGGAUGUGAAAUCCCCGGGCUCAACCUGGGAACUGCAUUCAAAACUGACGAGCUAGAGUAUGGUAGAGGGUGGUGGAAUUUCCUGUGUAGCGGUGAAAUGCGUAGAUAUAGGAAGGAACACCAGUGGCGAAGGCGACCACCUGGACUGAUACUGACACUGAGGUGCGAAAGCGUGGGGAGCAAAAGCAGGAUUAGAUACCCUGGUAGUCCACGCCGUAAAACGAUGUCAACUAGCCGUUGGGAGCCUUGAGCUCUUAGUGGCGCAGCUAACGCAUUAAGUUGACCGCCUGGGGAGUACGGCCGCAAGGUUAAAAGC